rnacentral:rRNA from 1 species
GACGAACGCUGGCGGCGUGCUUAACACAUGCAAGUCGAACGAAGUGGCGAACGGGUGAGUAAUACGUGAGUAACCUGCCCUCCUUUUUGGGAUAAGCCUUGGCAACGGGAUCUAAUACCGGCUAAAGGGGGAUGGGCUCGCGGCCUAUCAGCUUGUUGGUGGGGUGAUGGACUAGCAAGGCGGUGGCGGGUAGCCGGCCUGAGAGGGUGACCAGACACAUGGGGAAUGAGAUAAGGCCCAGACUCCUACGGUAGGCAGCAAUGGGGGAUAUUGCACCAUGGGCGAAAGCCUGAUGCAGCGAUGCCGCGUGGGGGAGGAAGGCUUUCGGGUAGUAAACCUCUGUAGCUACCGAACGGGUAGGUUGAGGAGAAGCGCCGGCUAACUACGUGGCAGCAGCCGCGGGAAUAC